GACGAAACGAGCGAACGUUGUUCGGAAUCACUGGGCUUAAAGGGCGCGUAGGCGGGCUGUCAAGUCUGGGGUGAAAUCCCACGGCUCAACCGUGGAACUGCCUCAGAUACUGACGGCCUCGAGGGAGGUAGGGGCGAGCGGAACGGGUGGUGGAGCAGUGAAAUGCGUUGAUAUCACUCGGAACUCCGGUGGCGAAAGCGGCUCGCUGGGCCAUUUCUGACGCUGAGGCGCGAAAGCUAGGGGAGCAAACGGG
rnacentral:rRNA from 1 species